GCACUGGAGGCAGCGGUUCAUCGAUCUGUUUAUGAGAUUUUGUUGUGAGUAAACACAGUUCAUGAAUCGGUCGAUAAACCUCUGCAUCCAGCGC